rnacentral:rRNA from 1 species
GACGAACGCUGGCGGCGUGCUUAACACAUGCAAGUCGAACGGUAAGGCCCUUUGGGGUACACGAGUGGCGAACGGGUGAGUAACACGUGGGUGAUCUGCCCUGCACUUCGGGAUAAGCCUGGGAAACUGGGUCUAAUACCGGAUAGGACCACUGCCUGCAUGGGGGGUGGUGGAAAGCUUUUGCGGUGUGGGAUGGGCCCGCGGCCUAUCAGCUUGUUGGUGGGGUGAUGGCCUACCAAGGCGACGACGGGUAGCCGGCCUGAGAGGGUGACCGGCCACACUGGGACUGAGAUACGGCCCAGACUCCUACGGGAGGCAGCAGUGGGGAAUAUUGCACAAUGGGCGCAAGCCUGAUGCAGCGACGCCGCGUGAGGGAUGACGGCCUUCGGGUUGUAAACCUCUUUCAGCACCGACGAAGCGCAAGUGACGGUAGGUGCAGAAGAAGGACCGGCCAACUACGUGCCAGCCGCCGCCGUAAAAC